UGAGUUUGUCAUAUAUGGCCUUUAUUAUGUUGAGGAUCUUCUAUGCCUAAUUUGUUGAGAGUUUUUAUCAGGAGGGGAUGUUUACUUUUAUCUAAUGCUUUUUUCUGCAUCUAUUGAGAGGAUCAUAUCAUUUUCGUUGUUCCUUCUACUAACGUGAUAUAUCAUGUUAAUUGAUUUGCAUAUAUUGAAUGAUCUUUGCAUCCCUGAGAUAAAUCCCCCUUGAUCAUGGUGUAUUAUAUAUUCGAUGUGUUAUUGGAUUUUUGUUAGCUAGUAUUUUGUUAAGGAUAUUUGUGUCUAUAUUUGUCAGAAAUAUUAUCUGGUAGUGUUCUUUUGUUGUUGUUGUUGUGUAUUGUCUGGUUUUGUAUCAGAGUACUGCUGGCCUUGUAGAAUGAGUUAGGAAGAAUUCCCUCUUCUCCAAUUUUUUGGAAUGGUAUGAGAUGAAUUGAUGCUAGUUCUUCUUUAUAAGGUUGAUAGAAUUGAGCAAUAAAGCCAUCCAGCCCUGGGCUUUUCUUUAAUGUUUGGUGGGAAUCUUUUUAUUACAUAUGCAAUCUGUUCCUCAUUAUUGGUCUGUUAAGAUUUUCUAUUUCUUUCUGAUUCAGUCUUCAUAAGUUGUAUGUGUCCAAGAGUUUAUCCAUUUCUUCUAGGUUUUCCAGUUAGUUAGCAUAUAGUUGUUUAUAAUGGGCUCCAAUGAUCUCUUGUAUUUCUGUGGUAUCAGUUGUAACAUAUUUUUAUUUCUGAUUUUGUUUAUUUGGGUCCUCUCUCUUUUUUCCUUGGUUAAUCUAGCUAGCAGUUUAUCAAUUUUGGUUAUUUUUUCACAAAAACAACCUAUCAUUUUGAUAAUCGUUUGUAUGUUUUUUCUCUAUUUCAUUUAGCUAUGCUCUGAUCUUUAUUAUUUCUUUCCUUCUACUAAUUUUGUUUGUUUUGUUCUUGCUUUUCUAGUUCCUUGAGGUACAUUAUUAUGUCGCUUAUUUGAAAUCUUUAUACUUCUUGGUGUAGGUGUUUAUUGCUGUAAACUUCUCCUUAGCACUGCGUUUGUUAUAUUCCAUAGGUUUUGGUAUAUUGUGUUUUCAUUUUUGUUUGCUUUAAGAGUUUUUUUAUUUCUUUCUUUAUUUCUUCAUUAGUCCAGUAAUCAUUCAGGAGCAUAUUGUUUCAUUUCCAUCUAUUUAUACAGAUUCCAAAGUGCUUGUUGCUAUUGAUUUCUAGUUUUUUCCAUCAGGAUUUGAGAAAAUGCUUGAUAUGAUUUCAAGUUUUUAAAAUUUGUUGAGACUUGUUUUGUGGCCUAACAUAAAUGGUCUAUCCUGGAGAAUGUUCUGUUUUUCACCUAUUAUUAAAUAGGUUACCUAUGUCUUUACCCAUCUCUUUACAUUCUGGAAAACCCAAAAUUUGAAUAUUUGAUUGCUUUAAUGUGUCCCCUAUCCCAUGUAUGCUUUGUUUAUUCAUUUUUCCUUUUUAUUCUUUUUGAGGGGUUUUGUCUGAAUUAUUUCAAAAGGCUUGUCCUCAGUUCUUCUCCUUGAUCUAGUCUAUUGUCAAAGCUCUCAGUUUUAUUUUUUAUUUUAUUCAUUGAAUUCUUCAGUUCCAGGAUUUCUGUUUGGUUCUUUUUUUACACUAUCUAUUUCUUUGUUGAAUUUCUUACUCAUAUCCUGAUUUGUUUUCUUAAUUUCUUUGUAUUGUUUUUCUGUGUUCUCCUAUCUCACUGAACUUCUUUAAUACCAUUAUUUUGAAUUUUUUUCAGACAUUUAAUCUUUUUUUUUAAUUGGAAUCUGUUGCUGGAGAAUUAUGUUCUUUUGGAGGUAUCAUUUUUCUUUCCUUUUUCAUGUUUCUAGUAUACUUACAUUAACAUCUCCACAUCUGGUGUAACAGCCAUUUCCUACAGUUUUAGGACUAGUUUUUGUAGGGUAAGACUUUUUUCUGUACAUGUAUCAUCAUGUUGGUUUGCUUUUUCUCCUUAAUUUUAGUUUUUAUUCUGAGUGCAUACAGUAGUGAAGUCUCUAUGAUUUCUUCAGCUAUAAUUAGCAUCAGUGGGUGUCUGUGAUUUCCUCAGUGGCUUAGGCCUCAGUUGUUAGUGGAGGCUGUGGUGAGGCUUUUCUGGGGGCAGGGACACCAGGCAUCCUGAUCCUCAGGUCCCAGUGGUGGUAGCAGCAGGCCAAGCAUACCUGCCCUUGGUCCCCUGGUGGGCAUACACUGGCAUCAGUUUUAGCAGCUCUACAUGGGCCAAUUCUUAGGUCUCCGUGUGGCUUGUUUACCAGCAGUGGCAGUAGUAGGCUGGACAUAUAGAUGAGACCUUAGUCUCCUGUGUAGCAUGUAUAGCAUCAGCAAUGGUAGUAGUGAUGGCAGGCCAACCCUCAGGCUCCCAGGUAGUACACACUGCUGCUAGUGGUGAUAGCAACAGACUGGACAGGACAGGCCCUAAGCCCUCAGGUGGCAUGUGUGGGUAAGUGCCAGCAGUGGUAGUGGUGGCAGACUGGGCAGGUCCAGCCUCAGGCCAUUAGUGGAUGCGGCAGGGCAAUCCCCAGGCCCUCAGAUGGCAUACUUGAGCAUUGGGGUUGCAGUGCCAGGAAGUGCAGGCCUUUACUCAGGCCCCUCAAUGGUGCACAUGGGCACAGGGUGUGGUGGGCCAAGUCAGGCAAUCCCCAGGCCCUCAAACAAUGUGUUUGAGUGCAGGCAGUGUGUGGUUUGGGUCUGUUUAGUUAGACGCCCUGAAGGUGCAUGUGCAUGCCAGAAGCAGCAAGCAGGGCAGAUGGAUCCCCAAGCCUCCAGACAGUGCAUUCAGCCACUGUGGGAGGUACCACUAGGCAGGGAGAGCCUGUCCUCAGGCUCCCCUGUUGUACCUGUGGUUGUAGGCUCUGGUGGACAGGGCAGUCUUCAGGUCUCUGGGCAGCAUGUUUUGAUGCCAGUGGCUAAUGGCCUGAGUUUUUUUUAAUGCUUCCCAAUCGUAUAUAUAUGUACCCAGAGUGAUAGGCAGAGGGAGGUGCUCCCCAGGUAGUGUGCUGGGGCACUGGGAGGGGUUGCACCUAAAGGGACAGGCCUGUCCUCAGGCCCCCAUUGGUGCAACCAGAUGCAGACUCUGGUAGACAGGAAAGGACUAUUCCUAGGCCCCUGAACAAAAUACAUGGGAGGUGGUAGGCAGGGUGAGUCUGUCCUCAUGCCCUCGGAUAGCACCCAGGUGGACCAGUUCUCAGGCCCACUGCAGGUGGUGCAAAUACAUGGCAGCCCUGCUGUGGGGGCUGGGCAUUGCUAUCAGUGGCAGUGGCCCCAGGCAGGUGGCUCUCAGGCUCUGGGGAGUGUGUGCUUUGGCUUCCUUUACACCAGAAACAGCCUUGCCUAGUGUGCUUCCCUACAUGUUCUUUGCAGUGGAGGACAUUGUGUGGGCUAAAGUACUGGGGACCCUGCUACACCAUUGGGUCCAGCCAGCACUGUGCCACUGCAGCCCUCUUGAUGGACAUGGGGUGCUGUCAGUGGGGCUCCAGGUGUAUAGAGAUGCAUACAGUCUAAUGGUAGUUGGCCUCUCAAAAUGGCACUGUGCUUCAGUUUCUUGGGUCCUGGGGGGUGUAGGACCCAGCACAAACUCCCUCUCUGGAACAGUGCUGUUGUGUGAACUCUAGGCAGGUCCCUAUACUUAUGUCAGAAUUCAUAAGGGUUGUGGGCAUCUUACAUGGCUAGGAUUGCAAGAGUCUGUGGUGGAAAUGUGGACCACUGGGGAUUUCUCAGUUACCCUUUCCCCACACUGGAUAACCUCUUCUGGCUCCCAGCUGGUCCCAGCCAUGCCAGCUGCUUUACUUCCUUUUGCUUCUGCGCCUCAGAUGUUCGCUGUCACUUCCCUGCUAAAUUUCACUGUUCUAUCUUAGAGGCUCUUUUCAACAUGUAAUUAUCUACUCAAUGUUUAGGUCCUUCUUUGUGGAGGAGAGUUCUGGGUCAGCCAUCGUGAAGCCCUGACCUUUAUUUUUCAUGAGUUCUUUUUGUCUGUUCUUGUACUGUGUAUGUUACUGCUUUAUGUAGCUCUAUAAUAUUUUAAUGAAUAUUAUAUUAUAAUAUUUUCUUCACCCUUGUUUACCCUUUCUAAAUUUUUUGUUUUCUUGCCCCCUAUGCUUUAUUUUAGAGUGAUUAGGUAAUUUAUAUUUCCUAGAAAAUCGUCCUUAUCUCCUGUAUAUCUUCUCUUUCUUUUUUAAUUAGACUUGCCAACGGUUUGUUUUUUUGGUCUUUCUAAAGAUUUAUUGAAUUUGGAGAUUAACAGUAAAGUUGCAUAUUAAUUAGGAGAGAACCUUAAUCUUGAGAAUUUACCAUUAUGAACAUGUUGCUUCUGUAUUUACUCAAAUAUCUUUUGUCCUUCAGUAAAGUUUUAGAAACCCUCUUUCCUCCAUACAGGAAUGAAUUUAUGUCUUAAAGUUAUUGAUUAAAUGUAUAUUUUGAUUGCUAUUAUUAAUGUGUUUGCUUUACCAUUAUAGUAGGAUAUGGGCAAAACACAGUUUCUAUGUUUAUAUUAUAAUUGGCCAUCUACUAAAUUAUGUUACUGAUUUCCACAUUUUUCAAUGAUUCCUUUGGAUUUUUAUUGACAAUCACAAGAGAUUGGUAUAUCAUUUUGUCUGUCCCUUUUCAGUAUUUACAUUUCCAUUUUUGUUUUAUUAUAUUUAUUAAAAUGCCUACAACAAUAUUUUAAUGUCUUGUUCCUGCUUUGAAUUGAAAUGCACUAGAAUGUAUUUUCUGGGAUCAUUUCUAUAGCUUGUUGCCUUUCAUGUUUUACCACCAAAUAUAAAGUUGGCCAUUUGACUGAGAUAGGUAUUCUUUAUCAGAUUAACGAAAUGUUGUUGAUUCUUAAUAUACUUACUUUAUCUUUUUUAACAUGUUAGUGUGAUGAAUUAUAUCAGGGAGACAUCCUCACUUUCCUGGAAUGAAUACCAUUUAAUCAUGGGGUAUGAUUUUAGUAUUUGCCUGAAUCUAUCUGCUAAAAUUUUAUUUGGGCUUUUUACUUCCAUAGUCAUAAGUUUUAUUAAUCUAUAGUUACUGUUUUUCUGAAGUUGGGAUUAUAUAGGAUUCAUAAAAUGAGUUUAGAAAGUUUCUAUGCUUUUGUUCUUCAGAAAAUUUAGGAACAUAGAAUCAUCUUAUGUCUAUUCCUUAUCAAUUUUAACAAACUAAUUCUUGGAUAUUGGUCUCUUCAAGUUUUCACUUCUUGAGUCAAUUUAAGAAAUUUAUGUUUCCAGUGAAAUCAUCCAUUUCCUUUUCUUUCUAUCAUUACUUAUAUUACCGUUAUUAUUUUAUUUAUUGUUAAUUAAUGCUUUUUAGAGGUAUAUUUUUUAGACUUCCUUGAGGUUUGUGAACUUAGUAUUAUUAGUAUUCUAAAGAUUUAUAAUGUAUUUGAAUCUUUUCAUAUUUGUAUUUAGAAAUAAAAUAUUCUGCCAAAUAGCAAUUAUUUACUAAUCUAUUCAUGUUAUGUGUUUAGUUUUUAAUAAUUAUUUUCUAAAAUGGGGUAGAACUAAACUGCCACUACUCAUUUAGAGUUUAUGUGCUUUUCAAAGGGCUUGACUUAUCCCAGGUAAUAAACAGCUAACGUACCAACAAGCAGCACAUUGUAACAUACAGUUUGUAGAAAUGGACAAAUUGAUUGACAGCCAAAUCUUGAUUAUCAAUGAAACAGAUGUAAGGCUCCCUGGACAAUUUACAAAUAGAAAUAAUAGAGUACUUUAAUUUAGCCAUUUAUUUUAAUAUCUUCUCAACUAUUAUAACUAUGCACAACAGUGCAAAAAUCAUAGUAAAUAUGAAUAGUUUUCAUUGUCUUCCUUAUUCUCUGAUGCAUCUCCAAAUGCAUCAAGGGAAUAAAAAAGGCAGAACAAAGAAGUGGCCUGAACAACUCAAACUGUACAAUCAUUUUCUCCACAUGAUUGCCCCAAUAGAUUUGUUAUUCUAAAUUGCUGGCUAGCUAGACAUUAGGUAGCUAUCUGCUUAGCUCAUUCUACUGGAGCAUGCAAAACAGCAGUCCCCAAAACAGGGCAUGCAAGGCAGCCAGCUGUCAAACAAAAAGAUAAUAUGAGAAGUCCCAUUCCUGCUUAUUUUUACCUUAUUCUUUUUAAAUGCCUUAUUUGUAUGUAUAUCUUGUAUAAUAGCAUAGUCAUGCACCUAAAUAAUUUAUAAGUAGAUAAGUACAUAAUGUACUAGAAAAUGUCUUACUGAAAGGGAUAUAAGUUAAAAACCUUUGGAGAACUGUGGGCCAGAAGUAGAGAAUCAUGAAUUUGAAACCUGCUUUAGCCGCUUAUUAGUCAUGUGAAUUUGGUUGACUCUUUUAUAAUCUGUAAAAUGGGAGUAAGAACACCUGUCCUUCCUUCCUCACAGUGUUGUAUUGAGAACAAAAUAAAGCAACUCUAGUAGUUUGUAAAUUCUAUAAAGGCUGUGCGAAUUGUGAAUUUUUUUUUUAAGUUUUUAAAAUCUUUUCCUCAAAUGUAUUCAGUAUCCCCAUUUAAUCUUUACAGAAGACCAUAAUCGAAGUAGUGGAAAGACAUUUUACUUUCAGGAUCAAAGGAGAAAACUGUUUAAGGUUUAACAGUUCUCUCAUUCUAAAAGAGAUAUGUUUCUUUCCAACUUCUCGGAAAGUUUUGAUGGCCAGCUAUUUUAAACAAAAUAAACUUGGGAAUUAAUAAAGGAGAGCAAUUAAAAGUAAGUCUGAGAUUUAUCUGUAACUUCAGGAGAAAAGAAUUUUUACAAAAGGGAUAGAAAAAGAUAAGGUUUUAAAAAACAAGGAACUGAAAAAGGAAGACUAAAGUUUUAUAGCCUUAGGAGCCAGAAUUUUGGUAAUUAUCCAAGAAAUUUCUUAAGUAUUUCAUUGACCUGCAUACUUCCUUGAAUGAAAAUGUUGAGAUUAAUAGCUAACCUCCUGCUUGCCGCUUCUUCUAGCACUACUAUAUUUUAGGAAUCUAAUGGCAUCUACUGAUUCCACCAUGCAAUAACAGUGGGAAUUUAUUUUUCUUUGUGUUUAGAAACUCUCAGGAAUUUUUUUUUCCUUUUUCUUAUUUUUUUUU